CGGGCCGGCCAGGCGGUCGCCCCACCAUCACGUCGGGGAGGAAAGUCCGCACUCCAUCGAGCACGGCAGCGGGUAACGCCCGUCGUCCAACGUCGGUACGUCCGGCGAAGGGCAGGAACAGGGGCACAGUGACGAUGCCCGGCGCUUGUGACACCCCUUCGGGGAACACGCACGUAUACGCGCCAGGCGUGAAACGGCCAACCUCUGCCGGGAGCAAGGCCAAGCCGGGACGCUUGCAGGCUGCUCGCCAAGUCCCAGGUGGGCCGCACGAGGCCGGCGGCAACGCCGGUCCCAGAUAGAUGACCGCCCACGACAGAAUGCGGCUUAUCGGCCGGUUCGGCGG
rnacentral:RNase_P_RNA from 1 species